rnacentral:lncRNA from 1 species
AGAAUUUGCCCAUUGCAGACUCAAAGGACCAGACUGACAAUGCAAUUCCAUGCGAUACCAACAAUGAUAUUGCUGACUAUGCAACAGUUGAGGAAAAACCUGAAGAAACAGUAGUUGAAGAAAAACAUGAAGAACCUGCAAUUGAAAAGAAAUUUGAAGAAUCAACAGUUAUGGAGAAACCUGAAGAACCAGCAGUGGAAGAAAAACCUGAAGAACCAACAGUUAAAGAGGAACCUGAAAAAUCAGUGAUGGAAGAGAAACCUGAAGAACCAAUUGUUGAGGAGAAACUUGAAGAACCAACUGUUGAAGAGAAACCUGAAAAAUCACUGAUUGAAGAAACACCUGAAGAACCAAUAUGGGAAGAAACACCUAAAGAACUAGCAUUUGAAGAGAAACCAGAAGAACCAGCAGUUGAAGAGGAGAAACCUGAAAAGGUAACUCUUUUGGAAGAGGUGAGUAUCAAGCAUUAGCACAUAGUUUAUCCAUCAUGUUAUUUCUGUAUGUGCAUCGAUUCACAUCUGCUUAUCUAUUGAAAGUCUAAAUGAGACUUUAAAUUCUUCUUGCAGAAUAUACCAGCUGUAGAUUUCAACGACAAGACUGACCGUGAAAUUCCAUGCGAUACCAACAAUGAUAUUGCUGACUAUGCAACAGUUGAGGAAAAACCUGAAGAACCGGUAGUUGAAGAAAAACAUGAAGAACCUGCAAUUGAAAAGAAAUUUGAAGAAUCAACGGUUAUGGAGAAACCUGAAAAACCAGUGGUUAAGGUACAACCUGAAGAACCAGCAGUGGAAGAAAAAGUUGAAGAACCAACAGUUAAUGAGGAACCUGAAAAAUCAGCGAUGGAAGAGAACCCUGAAGAAUCAAUUGUUGAGGAGAAACUUGAAGAACCAACUGUUGAAGAGAAACCUGAAAAAUCACUGAUUGAAGAAACACCUGAAGAACCAAUAUGGAAAGAAACACCUAAAGAACUAGCAUUUGAAGAGCAACCAGAAGAACCAGCAGUUGAAGAGGAGAAACCUGAAAAGGUAUCUCUUUUGGAAGAGGUGAGUAUCAAGCAUUAUCACAUAGUUUAUCCAUCCUGUUAUUUCUGUAUGUGCGACGAUUCACAUCUGCUUAUCUAUUGAAAGACUAAAUGAGACUUUAAAUUCUUCUUGCAGAAUAUGCCAGCUGUAGAUUUCAACGACAAGACUGACUGUGAAAUUCCAUGCAAUACCAACAAUGAUGUUGCUGAAUAUGUAGCAAUUGAGGAAAACCUUGAAGAACCAGCAGUUGAAGAAAAACAUGAAGAACCAACAGUUGAGGAGAAACCUGAAGAACUAGCAGUUGAAGAGAAACCCGAAAAACCAACAAUUGAGGAGAAACAUGAAGAACCAAUAGUUGAGAAGAAACCUGAAGAACCAGUAGUUGAGGAGAAACCAGAAGAACCACUAAUUGAAGAGGAGAAAUCUGAAAGGGUAACUUUCCUAGAAAAGGUGAGGAUCAAGCAUUGUCAAAAGGUUUAUCCAUCUUAUUAGUUGUGUAUGUGCGACGAUUCACAUCUGCUUACUUAUUGAAAGACUAAGUGAAACUUCAAAAUUCUUGCAGAGUAUGCUAGUUGUAGACUCGAACGACAAGACUGACAGUGAAAUUCCAUGCAAUACCAACAAAGAUGCUGCCCACUUUCCCGAAGUUGAGGCAAACCCUGAAGAACCAGCAGUUGAAGGAAAACCUAAAGAACCCGUUGAUGAAGAGAAACCAGAUGUACCAGUGGUUGAGAAACCUGAAAAACAAAUGGUUGAGGAGAAACUUGAAGAACCAAUGAUUGAGGAGAAAUCUGACGAACUAGUCGAGGAGAAAUCUCAACAACCAGCGGCUGAAAAGAAACCUGAAGAACCAGCAGCUAAAGAAUCACUUAAAGAGCUAGCAGGGGAGGAAACAACUGAAGAACUAGCACUUGAAGAGAAACUUAGAGAACCAACAGUUGAAGAACUAGUUCUUGAAGAUAAACCUGAAAACCCAGAAAAUGAAGAGGAUAAACUUGAAACAGUAACUCUCCAGGAAAAGGUAAGAAACAAGCAGUGUCACAGAGUUUAUCCAUCCUAUUAGCUCUACAUAUGCAAUGAAUUCACAUCUGUUUAUCCACUGAAAGACUAAGUGAAACUUUAAAUUUUUCUUGCAGAAUUUACCAAUUGCAGACUCAAACGACAAGACUGACAAUGCAACUCCCUGCAAUAACAACAAUGAUAUUGCUGACUCUGCAGCAGUUAAGGAAAAAACUGAAGAACCAGUAGUUGAGGAAAAACAUGAAGAACCGGCAACUGAAGAGAAAUCUGAAGAAUCAGAAUUUAUGAAAAAAACUGAAGAACCAGCGGUUGAGGUAAAACCUGAAGAACCAUCAGUGGAAGAGAAGCCUGAAGAACCAGCGGUUAGGAAAAAUCCUGAAGAACCAGCAGUUAAU